rnacentral:rRNA from 1 species
GACGAACCGUGCGAACGUUGUUCGGAAUCACUGGGCUUAAAGGGCGCGUAGGCGGGCUGUCCAGUCUGGGGUGAAAUCCCACGGCUCAACCGUGGAACUGCCUCAGAUACUGACGGCCUCGAGGGAGAUAGGGGCAUGCGGAACUGUAGGUGGAGCGGUGAAAUGCGUUGAUAUCUACAGGAACUCCGGUGGCGAAGGCGGCGUGCUGGAUCCCUUCUGACGCUGAGGCGCGAAAGCCAGGGGAGCAAGCGGG